CGCUCGGGGCGGGCGGGGGGCCGCGCGCAGCCUCGGGCCCCCGCGCCCCCCGCGCCCCCGGGCGCAUUUCCACGCCGAGAGAGCGUCGGCAGCCCCGGCGACCUGCACACGCACGGCGGGACCCACCUUCCAGCCUGAUCUUUUGACCAGAAAGGGAUUAAAAAGUUGCCCAUCGUGAUGGCUGUGCCUGCCGGUUGCAUGGAGCCUCAUUCAGGAUUUCCUGAGCCUCUUGGAUUUACAGUGAUACUCAGCUGCAGGGAGUGGAGAAAGCAUUCUCUGGAAUCACAGACCCCCGGCACACGUCUGGAUGCUAAUGAUGGUUUUACGGAUGGCCCCGGCUGAGUGCUUGGCGGAUCUCUGCAGCCUGGAUGCCUGUGGGGUCAGAGGACCGCGGCUUCCUGGGACGGCGGAGGUCUCUGCAAUUAUCUUCAUGCAAAUGUUCAGUUGGGUCGCUGCUAGCCUCACUGAGGGCGCCCCGUGAAACAAUCCUGUCAUACCUCGGAUUUUGGUGCCUUCAGUCUGAAAAAUAUACAUAUCCGUUUGGUACCCUAGAGGAACUGGAGAAUUGUCUUCCCCUGAAUGAAGCUGGACCAUUCUGGGAUUUGGAGAAAGGGCCAGGCACGCAACUCGUGAGCGAGUGACGUCGAUCUGGUGGGCAGACCGCGGAGGUUGGUGGGGAACUCGAAGGAACCAGGACGCCCCCUGUGAUGCACUGGCCUGGGUGCCCUGCUCAGGUCGGUGUCUUAUCUGAUUGCCCAGGGUCCGUGCUUGACUCAUUGUUGUAAACGUUUGGCUUUUGCCCCUGUGUAGGCCGAAUAUAAAGGCAGCAGUGGUCAGUCCACAGCUUCUGAUUCUAGCGCCAAAGGACUGCAAGCACAUCAUGGCCAGAUCCGAUUGCUGCAAGGGAGACUGGAAGCCUGGGGGUGAGGGGGAGGAGGGUCUUUUCCCUUGCCAUCGGCCCCCUGUUCCUGACAUUGUCACUGUGGCAACACUUCCUCCCCUGGCAGCAGCGCUUGGUCCCAGGAGCAACAGUGGCUUCCAGCUUGCACUGGCUAUUCUCAGAAGUGACACCCCCAGCCAAGACCCCACAGGGCCUGCCUGGCUUCCCAUAAUCCCACUCUUACCCCCCAUCCCUAAGGGGGAGAAUGUGCUGCUCUGAACAGCCACUACUUCUCGGAGGCCUCAGGACCCCCUUUUGCCCUUUCAGUAAAUGGUUCUUUAUCUGAAAUUCUGCUUAUUGAAAUCACUGAUAUGCUUCCUCUUCCCAGGUUGAAACCUAAAGAAUACUCGGGGGUGUAUUUUUGUAUUUCCCACCCCUGUCUCCUUCGCUCAAGUGAGCUCGAAGCAGGUUUCCAAACUUGUGACUCGGAGGCCCAGAGCGGGCCGCCCCACCGCCCACCUGCGACCCUGUGCCCGGAAGGGCCACCGGCCUGCAUCUGACACUCGCUGCUGGCUUGUCUUCACCUCCUCCUGCCGCGGCCCACAACCAUGGGCACCCCGGGGGGCUCGCCGGCAGCCCAUUUCCACAGCCUGCUGAGCAGGAGGGGGUGACGCUUUGGGUUUUCCCGCACUGAGCGCCGGUCCCCAGGGUGUGCUGGGCUCCUCUGUGUCUGCAGGGGCGUGUGCCUGUGUGGGGUGGAAACAGCCUUAUCAAAAUAGACGGGGAAGUGAGGCUAGCCUGGGGAGAAAACAUGGGCCGGGGCUUCUUGGGGGGUUUCCUCUGUGCCAUUACCCCACAGGAGCCACGUUUGGCAUGCUUCCUGCGACCCUUCACACUCCCCCCUUCCUGGCCAUUCACUGUUUUGCCCUUUGCCACAGUAUCAAUGUCUAAAAUUCACCUUCCUGACAGGGCGUGGUGACAGUCCUUUUGUCACUCCCAUUGCAGAACCUGUAUGUGUCUUCGGGUGCAAUGUGAUUGAUUAUAAAUCGUGACAGUCCAUCAUGCUUAUUGAAUAUGGUCAUUAUGAUGGUGAGCUGUCGCAGAAAUGGUACAUGCAUCCCAUUCUCCUUACAGUGCUCUCCACUUUACCUUCCUUAUUCAGAGCAUUGCAGGAUGGGCUGCGUGGAUUUAUUGGGGUGUGUAUUAGUUCGUCAGGGCUGCUGUAACAAAGGACCACCGACUAAGUGGCUACAGACCAGAAAUUCAUUCUCUCACAGUUCUUCAGGUUGGAAGCCUGAAAUCAAGGGGUCAGCAGGACCAAGUUCCCUCUGAAGGUUCUAGGGAAGAGUCCUUCUUCUCCCAGCCUCUGGUGGCAUCUGGCAGUCCUUGGCCUAUGUUGGCUUGUGGCUACAGCUCUCCCGUCUCCACCUCCAGCCUCACAUGGGCUUCUCUCUGGUGUGUCUAUGUUCAGACUUCCCUUUUCUUACAAGGAUUAGGUCUGUCCUAGUCAGGAUGACUUCAUCUUAACUUGACUCCUGCAAAGACCCCAUUACCAAAUACAGUCACGUUCACAGGUACUGGGUGGGGUUAGGGCUGCAAUGUACCUGAACUGGGGACACAGUUCAACUCAAAACGGGAUGAAAGAAGAAAAUGUUCCAGCUUCAAUGUUUUGUUUAUUUUAUUCCCUUCUGAGAAAAUGGGUUCGUUUAUGAAGGUUUUAUAGGAAUACAGGCAUUUAUGGGUAUAAAUUUUUUUAUAAGAUCUUAUUUAUUUAUUUGGGAGAGAGAGAGAGAUAGUGACAGAAAUCAUGAGCAGGGUGAGGAGCAGAGGGAGAAGCAGAGUCCCUGCCACGCUGGGACCCUCACAUGGGGCUCAAUCCCCAGACCCUGGGAUCAUGAUCUGAGCCGAAGACAGAUAGAUGCCCAACCGACUGAGCCACCCAGGCGCCCCUGGUGUAUAAAUUACACACAGAAUUUAAAUAUUUAAGCAAAAUUUGGGGGCUAUACGCAAACACAAGUGAUGAGGGCAUACUCAAAGAACACAGUCAUCAGGCCACUGGUCUGAUUUAUAGACUGGCCAAGUUGCAGUCCCCUUGGGCGGCCAUAACAAAACACCACAGGUGGGGUGGUGUAAACAGCAGGAAAUUCAUUUUCUCACGGUUCCGAGAUGGGAGAGUCCAAGAUCGACGUGUUCCUGUCAUGCAGAUGGGCCCCUUCUUGCUUCCUCACAGAGCGAGAGCGAGAGAGACAAUACCCAGGCUCUGUGGUGUCUCUCUUGUAAGUAUACUAGGCCUCUGGGCUCCAGGCUCCACCUUUAUGACCUCUCUUAUCCCUCAUUUCCUCCACAAAGGCCUUGUCUCCAAAUACAAUCCCACUGGGGACUGGGACUUCAGCAUAGCAUUUCUGGGGAGACACAAUUCAGUCCUUAUCAGGUUCCAUCUUCUGGAUUGUAUUAUACAGUCCGAUGCCUUUGGCUCUCGUGAAUUGCAGCAAAAACCUGGUGCCCGGUAGGGGGGAUUCGUGGACCCUGACUUCAGUUCCAGCUACAGCUGGUUUUUAUCCUGGUAUUUUUAUCACUUUGUAUUUCAUUCUGUUUUAUCCUCGGUACCUGGGUGCCUUAGGCAAGUUAACUACCCUCUCUGAGCCGUACUUUCCAAAUACCAGAAGCCUCUCUCAUUUCUUGCUGUCCACAUGGGGAUAAUGCCUACCAUGGGGGUUGUUAGAGAAAGGUAAGUGAGGUCACUAAGUAGGUGCUUAGUAGCUGCUGGCAGUUUUCCCUUCUGCCCUCAUCCUCCUCCCCUCUGUCCUCCGACGGCUCCUUCGCCCCUGCCUCAGUGGCAGGGUAGCUGUGAGGGGCAGAUACUUAGUUCUGACAGUCACUGUCUUUCUCAGCCCCGUUAUUUAUCGUCCAGCUGUGUGUCUUGUCUCACCAUCACUGACGUCAUCGUCGGGUAUUGAGCUAUCUAUCACUUUGGUUUUUAUUCAUGGAUUGUCUUACUCCAAACCAGCUCAUAAAGCAGGUCUAUAGGGUCUAGCCAGCUUGUAUACAGCAGGUGAUCGUGACUGAGAAUUUAUUAGGUUGAUCAUGUAGGGGAGAAGGGAGGGCUUUGGCCCUGGUGCCAGUGCUUCACCUUUCUUUAUCUCAGAGGAGGCAGCAGGCAGCAUGAACAAGCUAGCUCUCUUCCCCCCCUCCCUGCCCACUGCCCAGGGCACAGUCAGCAUGAAACAAGGUCUUUAUGGUCAUAGAUAAGAGCCCCAGCAGUACCGUCACAAGGGCAUGGGCCUAGAAGUCACAUAAACCAGUGGGAGUCCUUAGCCUGGCCCUUACUUAACUGCUGGCAAGGUAAUAGCCCAGGUCUGGAGAACCGCUGCUCUCCAGAUGAACUCUGACCUAGGCUUCCAAACCCCAGAUGCCUCUCUCAUUGCCUAGUUGUUGGACCCUGGCCGAGUUACGUCCUCUCACUGAGUGUCUGCUCUUUGUUACCUGUAAAGGGUAGUAAUGCUUUUCUCACAGUUGUUAUGAAAUGUCCAUAAAGUGAUGCAAAGCUGGUUAUAAAACACAACACAAAGGUUGGGAGUUAUCAUUAGCAAGUUUGGGAAACUUUCAUUACUACAUGACUAUUGUUUUAGGCUUGUUAUUUUGAAGUCUGGAGCUGAGGCCCAGUGGGGAUUGGUGCAAAUUCAAACUCUUGACUCAUUCCCAAAUAGCAAAUGAGUAUGGCAUCCUGCAGAUACGUUAGAGUCGUUUCUCUGGUAUUUUUUGUACAUGUGCAUGCACUUGGGUCCUUUUUGGCCCAGAGCCCCACCCUUGUUAAGCCUCAGAAAAUACCUCCAUGUCCAGAUGUCGCUGUGUCCCUUGUUCUCCUGGAUCCUGCUCACAGUACCUUGCCCCUGUGCUGGCACAGCCAUAGCUGCUUUCCUUUGCUCGUGCAUUAGGUAUUCUAGCAAGUUGUAGCGAUGAACUUGGCAAGGGAAAAUGGGUAUUCUCCUGCACUGCUGGGGGGCCAGGGUGUUGAUGAAUCAGACCAACUUUGUUGAAGGAAGGUUUGGCAGGACUUCUAAAAGUUGAUAGUGUGUGCGCUCCUGAUGAGUCUGUCCUCGAGAAACCGUAAAACAAGUUGCAAAAGACACUCGCUGUACAACGUUGAUGUAAUAGCAGGACCUGGAAGAUAGCCUCACUGCUGGACAACCUCCCGCUCAGCAGUCACUAGAAAGGGUGCAUCAGAUCAGGAGGUCCAUGACUUUGGUUUGUCCCAUAACUGGUGAUAAUGACCUUGAUCACUCGAUGAAGGUCAACCUGGUGUUCUCAUCAACUUAUGUUUGCCAGGUCUCUCCACUGUAAAGUUACUGUUUUUCCCUUUAUUAUUAAUCAGUAUCUUGUCGGGAGGUAUUUUGAAACUAUGUAAAUACUGGGUUUCUCAUCUUACUUGUACCUGACUAAUUUUAGCACCAUCCUUGAUGAUUCGCUUGAAACUGUUUAACUCUUGGUGCUUGCACAACAGUGGUUGUCCAUCUCAUCAUUAUUUCUAUAUUUAUCAGUUGGAAUCCAAAUGGAAAGAAGAGCUUUCCUUUCUUUUCCAUUAAAAAAAAUGUAAUUAUUCACAUUGGUAUAAACGCAGGCGUUUUUAUUAUAUGUAGAUCAAUAACUACAAUUAUUUUUUUUUGCUCAGUUUUGUCUGGAUUUGGCCACUGGGGUGUCCUUCAUGUUGAGCUGUAUGUCCUUUCAACAUUUACUCAUCAUUUUUUGAGCAUUGCCUUACCUCUUGGCACCACGGGAUGUUCUCAUCGUGUGCUAUCUCUGCCCCAGCCCUGAAGUCAUCCACUGCUUCAAUGGAGUUCUUGCCAGAAGCCCAUACACUGAAAUUAAUAAUGAGAAAAUAACAGACAGAACCAAAUUGAGGCACCUUCUACAAAAGAACUGGUCAGUACUCUUCAAAAAUGAAAGACAAAGCAAGACUGAGGAAUGAUUCCAGAUUGCAGAAGACAAAGGGACAUGGCAGGUGAUUGCCAUAUGUGGCAUAUCCGAUCCUGGAUUGGAUUCUGGAUUGGAUAGAAUCUGAAUAAAGUCUCUGGAUUAAGCAAUAGUAUUGUGUUAUUUUCCUGACACAACUUGGUGAUUGUACUGUGGUUACACAAGACAUCAAUCCUGAGAAAUUGCAAGGCUGUGCGAAUUCACUGUACUUGUAAACUCUUUUUGGAAGUAUGGAAGUAUUUUAAAGUGAAAAGUUUAAAAACCCAAUUUAAAUACAAAAAAAGAUAAAUUCAUAUAUACCAAUAUGAAAAGCUGUCCACAAUUGGUCCGUUGAAGAAUAGUCAUCGUACUCUUGGUAUAGAGUUAGCCCGCUUCUGUAAAACAAGACAACAAUAUGGUACCUACAGAUAUUUAUCAACACAUGGGAGAAAUUCUGAGAAGGAUACAUACUACUUCUUGUUAACAGACAUUUCUGGGAAAUGUAAUUGGAAGAACAGCCCCCGGGGGAUGUUCCUGGUCAGUGGGUGGCAUCUCCUCUGCAGCGAUUGGAAGACCCAAGUGUGUUCCAUGCUCGUCGUCUGCCAUCCUUUCAACGACCUUGAAAUCUACCCAGCUGGCAGAGGAGGGACAAGGAGGUACAGAGGGACACCUUCCUAAACACCUCGUCCUGGAAGUGGCAUGCAGUCACUCCCCUUGCAUGCUUUUGAUGAGAACUGAGCACAUCGUCCCUCCUCGGAAGCGAACAGGCUGACCUGGGAACCGUGUAUACGCAGUCCCGUUGGCCGAGGUUCCCUUCAUGGUGGUGGUAAGGCAUAGAGGUCAUUGGGCUAUGGUUUUCGGAGAGUCCUGAGCUCCUGUGAAGAUCUGCUUCUCUCCAGCCUUGGGCUAUCUGCAUUCUUGAACAUCUCUGGGCCCAGAAGGAAAAGAAGAAUGCUGAGCAGCUCAGGGAAUGGCUUGAAUGAAAAGAGGUGUCGUCUGUGCUGGCUUUGACGCUCUGAUUGAAGAUGAGUAGCUGGUGCUCUGAUUGUGAAGAUGGCAUGGUCCACAGUGCCCCAGAAUAUUCUCUGUCUGGCUCCUCGUAGGCCGAGUCUCGUGUGAACCCACCUAAUCCUGCAUUGGGCAGGCUGCGACUGCCACCAGUCCUCACUGUGCACAUGAGGAGUGAGGUUAAGAAACUGCCUGAAGUCAUACACAGCUUGUAGGUGGUAGAGUGUGGGUUUGGUUUCCUGAGCUGGGGCUCCUAAUGGUUCCACCGUAGGACAGAUUAUUGGUCUUUGCAGGGGAGGGACAUGAGGCAGGAAGAGGCAAAGGUAUGCAUCUGUGAGUAGUAGAAUCCAUUGGAUUGAGAACCAGAGUUCUUGACCUUUCUCUCAUAAGGAGCUCUUACCCUCCCCACCCACCGCCGUCUCCUGGGGUCACCUCCUAAACACACAACCAAACAUGCAGAGGCAUUUACUAUGCCCCCCAAAAUGUAAUCAUAUGAGGCCACAGAGAUAAUACAGCAAGACUAGUUAUGAUUAUGUGCUUUCUACUAAUACCAACUUAGUAAAUGUUGGUGGAAUGAGUGAAUAAAUAAAGUGAAUCACUCCUGGACUCUUCAGAAUUUAGAUUCUGGAGAUAUAAGACAGGGGCUCCUGGGAAAAGCAGUAAACUCCAGGACAUUCUCGUGGGAAGGAGACCAUCCUGGACCAUAGUCACGUUCCCCCUAGAUGGCACAGGGUUCUUGGGCUGCAAUGCCAAACACUUCUGUUAAAAUCCCACUGAAGAAGAACUCUUCUCUUUCCCGUGUAUCGUAACUGGCUCCGCUUUGGGCGAUUCUGAAUGUUUGGUUUCUUUAGACAGCUUUGCUGAGAUGCAGUUCACGUAUCAUACAAUUUACCAACCCUAGAACAUUUGACUACCUCAGAAAGAAAAUCUGUCCCCACUAGCUAUCACCUCCUCCCAAUCCCUUUCCCCCUGUCCUCCAGUCCUGAGCAACCUAGAAUUUCUGUCCCGAUGGAUUUGCCUAUUCUGAAGUCUCACACAGAUGAAAUCCUACACUACGUGGACUUCUGGGACUAGCUUCUUUCACUUCACUUGAUGUUUUCAGGGUCCAUCCACGUUGUAUUGCUCAUCUGAGCUUCAUGCCUUUCUAUGCCUUAGUAAUAUUCUAUUGUUCAAAUGGACCGCAUUUCAUUUUGUUCUUUCAUCGGUAGAUGGACGUUGGGUUGUUUCCAGUUUGGAGUUAUUAUGAAUCAUGAAUGCUUCUCUGAAGAUUCAUGUACAAGGUUUUGAGAGGAUGUGCAUUUACAUUUCCUUGAGUAUAUAUACCUAGGAGUGGAAUCGCUGGGUCAUGUGGUAGCUCUCUCUGUAACCUUUUGAGGAACUACCAGACUGUUUUCCAAAGCUCCUACGCUGGUUUUCGUGCCCACUAGGACCUGCGUGUUCUUGUUCAUCAUUCAUGCCCAUCCUCACAAAUCACAAGAUUCCGUUUAUGUGAACUUUUGGAGCACACAAAAUUUAUGAAUGGUGCUGGAAAUCAGCACAGUGGUUUCAAACGCCUGGAGGAGGACAGAGACGAUUGGAAAACUCACAGGGACCUUUCUGGGUGAGGAGAAUGUUUUGUAUCUUGGUGAUUUGGUGUUUUUGGUACAUGCAUUUGUCAAAACUCAUCAAACUGGAUGAGUUCACUGGAUGUUUCACUGUUAAUUGAGCCUGAAUUUAAAAAAAAUGGAAAAAAAAUGAAAAAAGCAUAAGUGGAGAAGAAAAACAAAAAUAAUGUAAGUUAUCUCUGGCCAUGACUUAUCUUGCCCACCUUCCCCUGGACAGAGGGCCUGUACCUGGCAAGCAAGGCCAAGUGUGAGGUUUUUAAUUGAUGUGAUUAACUGCGUCUCAAUAGGGAGCCUCGUUAACACCAAAAGGGAGGAAAGGAGGUUAUUUUUCACUCUCCUAACUAGAAGAAGGCUGGAAGGGAGUUGUAGGGGGUGCUUGGAGGGCUGGUCCCUGCAAUGGGGGAGGGGCAUUGGGAGAUCUUGUGCCAGGUCCCUCUGAAUAGUAGAACUGCAUUUCCCUUCGCAUUAAGAUACUUUUUGCAUGGGGGGCGGGGAGGGGCAACAUUUUCUCUGUUGUUGCAAAAUCUAGUCUCCAUUUUCAUCUAUGGAAAGGAGGAAACCAACCCUGAAUAUUUUUUUUGGAGGGUGGGGUAUGUUUUUCAAAGCUGCAUCAUCCACCAGAACACACUUCUGUCUAGAGAGAACACUCUUUAACCCUUCCUUAAUGCAUUAGUGGCUGAUGAACAGACAAUAACAGGAAAUACACAAAAAAAAAAAAGAAGUGAAAGGUUUUAUCUCCCCCUUAGACUCUGCAGAGAAAUUUAUGGAUGGAUAUAAACUCACAGAAGAUCAGGAGUGGACAAACAUUUGUUAAUUGCCGGGAAAAAUGUUUGAUAAAAUUGCAAAAAUCGUAUCAUUUUAUUUGUGGGCUAGAACAACAGCCUAGGAGUAUAAAUGCCAUUGUUUUUUGGAGGAUGAGAUUAUACUGUGAUUUUUUUUUUCCUAUUGCUAAUCUGUGAUUUGUUUUUUUCCAAUGACCGUUUAUUGCCUGUGAGUUCAAUUGUUUGUUAAGGAGUUAUUUUGGUUUCCAUGGGCUCGCUCGGCCCUCCCCACCAUGCUCCCAGGUUAUGAACUUUAAGACAGCACUGACUAAGGAUCAAACACGACCUUCGGGGUUAGCUAGGUCAGGGUUCGAUCUUGUAGGAUCGUGAGCAAGUCUGUGUGUCUUGGUUUCCCCCUCAGAAGAAUGGAACUGGUCACACUCUCGCUGAUCGAGAUGGGAACCCUCCAGCGCAGUACUUGGCCCCUCCUGUCCACUCACUACUUUUCCACCCCCCUCUCAGCAUGAUCCCUUCCUGGUACCUUGGAACCUAGCUAGCACUCAGCAUUGUGGUCCAGGCGACUCCUGAUUGCCAAGCUGCAGCUCUCAGAUCAUUGCAGAAGCUUAUAUACACCUGCGCACCAUGUGUGGCAUCUGUGUGUGUGCGCGCGUGUGUGCAUCAAGCACUUCGGUGUGUGUAGUGCGACGUUAAACAAAACCUCCCUCCCUGUGGAUCAAUUAGGACAGCUCGCUGCAGGGGCUGGUAUAUGUCACAAACCAAAGGUGGAAACUAAUUGCAGGAAACCUCUGGGUGACCACGCUGUUUAUGUUCCUUCUGGCAACACGUUCCUGGCGGUGGUGACAUCGGUCUUCAAACAGUCAGCCCGAUAGGUUGGAAACGUUCUCUUCCCGCAGCUCAGGAUAGAGAAUGCCGUCCCGGGCUGAGUGUGAGUAUCAUUUUUCCAGUCCUGGGGGAAGGGCUCAGCACAGGGUGAGUCAGGGUUUUGCAAAUUUAUGUUUACGCUGGUGGAACACGCAGGACACACAUGGGCAAAAGCGAUUUGCACUCAUGCAAAACAGGGGCCACGUGCUGUCAUCUGCUUCCCCUCCUCACCUUUACAGCCCUCCUUCUGGCUCCAGAAUGCCUGCCCCAGCCCCUUUUCUCAGCUUCUUUUUAUGGCAGUGGUUUUCAAACUUCAGUUUGCAAAUGACCACCUGGGAAACUUGGUAAAAUGCAGAUCCCUGGGCUUCCCCCACCAGAUUUUUUAACUCAGUGGCUCCGGGGUGGGGCCUGGGAAAUGGGAUUUUCACCAAACAUCUCAGAUAGGUCCGUUUGACCAGGAAGGUACUCUCUGUAUUAGUUUCAACAUAUGAAGACCGAGCUGCAAGA